rnacentral:rRNA from 1 species
UACGAAGGGGGCUAGCGUUGCUCGGAAUGACUGGGCGUAAAGGGCGCGUAGGCGGAUGGCACAGUCAGAUGUGAAAUUCCCGGGCUUAACCUGGGGGCUGCAUUUGAUACGUGUUGUCUUGAGUUCGGAAGAGGGUCGUGGAAUUCCCAGUGUAGAGGUGAAAUUCGUAGAUAUUGGGAAGAACACCGGUGGCGAAGGCGGCUCUCUGGACCGUAACUGACGCUCAGGCGCGACAGCGUGGGGAUCAAACAGG